AGCGAACGCUGGCGGCAGGCCUAACACAUGCAAGUCGAACGAAGUCUUCGGACUUAGUGGCGGACGGGUGAGUAACACGUGGGAACGUGCCUUUAGGUUCGGAAUAACUCAGGGAAACUUGUGCUAAUACCGAAUGUGCCCUUUGGGGGACAGAUUUAUCGCCUUUAGAGCGGCCCGCGUCUGUUUAGCUAGUUGGUGAGGUAAAGGCUCACCAAGGCGACGAUCAGUCGCCGGUCUGAGAGGAUGAUCAGCCACAUUGGGACUGAGACACGGCCCAAACUCAGACGGGAGGCAGCAGUGAGGAAUCUUGCGCAAUUGGCGAAAGCCUGACGCAGCCAUGCCGCGUGAAUGAUGAAGGUCUUAUGAUUGUAAAAUUCUUUCACCGGGGACGAUAAUGACAGUACCCGGAGAAGAAGCCCCGGCUAACUUCGUGCCAGCCGCCGCGGUAAUAC
rnacentral:rRNA from 1 species